AACGUUAAUCGGGGCAGGGUGAGUCGACCCCUAAGGCGAGGGCGAAAGCCGUAGUCGAUGGGAAACAGGUUAAUAUUCCUGUACCACCACGUGAUGCGAUGGAGGGACGGAGUAGGCUAGGCGAUCGCGGCGUUGGUUGUCCGCGUUUAAGCUAGUAGGCUGAGGACUUAGGUAAAUCCGGGUCCUUAAGGCUGAGAGGUGAUGACGAGCUCUCUUUUGAGCGAAGUCGUUGAUGCCAUGCUUCCAAGAAAAUCUUCUAAGCUUCAGGUUAUAACGAACCGUACCCCAAACCGACACAGG
rnacentral:rRNA from 13 species